rnacentral:rRNA from 1 species
AUACGGAGGGUGCAAGCGUUGUUCGGAAUUACUGGGCGUAAAGCGCGCGUAGGUGGUCUGUUAUGUCAGAUGUGAAAGUCCACGGCUCAACCGUGGAAGUGCAUUUGAAACUGGCAGACUUGAGUACUGGAGGGGGUCGUGGAAUUCCCGGUGUAGAGGUGAAAUUCGUAGAUAUCGGGAGGAAUACCGGUGGCGAAGGCGACUACCUGGCCAGAUACUGACACUGAGGUGCGAAAGCGUGGGGAGCGAACAGGAUUAGAAACCCUAGUAGUCC